GGACGACGCUGGCGGCGUGCCUAACACAUGCAAGUCGAACGGAGCACUUCGGUGCUUAGUGGCGGACGGGUGAGUAACGCGUGAGGAACCUGCCUUACAGAGGGGGACAACAGUUGGAAACGACUGCUAAUACCGCAUAACGUAUAUUUGGGACAUCCCAGAUAUACCAAAGGAGCAAUCCGCUGUAAGAUGGCCUCGCGUCCGAUUAGAUAGUUGCGGGGUAAGGCCCACCAAGUCUACGAUCGGUAGCCGGACUGAGAGGUUGAACGGCCACAUUGGGACUGAGACACGGCCCAGACUCCUACGGGAGGCAGCAGUGGGGGAUAUUGCACAAUGGAGGAAACUCUGAUGCAGCAACGCCGCGUGAGGGAAGAAGGUUUUCGGAUUGUAAACCUCUGUUUUAGUGAAGAAACAAAUGACGGUAGCUAAAGAGGAAGCCACGGCUAACUACGUG
rnacentral:rRNA from 1 species